rnacentral:rRNA from 1 species
AUGGAUUCGCCGUCACUCCUGACCAUGCACCUGCGCGGGUCUGCUUCGCCGCCCGACGUCGCCACGUCGGUGGCAAUCGAGGUGGAGGGAGGCGACGGGGUGGACCUCGCCCAGGUGGGCCUCGCGCUGGGGCUGGACCCGGCCACCGUCGGUCUCAAUGGCUACUUCCUCAGCUGCGGCUCCGGCCACGUCUCUUUGGCGGUCACCUGGGGCGAGCUCCUCGCCUUCUUCGCCGCGGGCGGGCAGCCCACGGGUGCCGACCCUGCCGCGCCCGUCGCCGUCGACGGCGGGCCCGUGCCUUCGCCUCCAGAGCCCAGAGUUGUUCUGUCCUCAAAGCGAAAGCCUGGGUUGGAGACCGAAAAUUGUUCCAAGAAGAGUAAGCUCCAACACAACAGCUCCGCUCAGUCAAAAGGAGGCGAAGAGCUACUUACCGAUGAGAUCACCCUUGGUUUGAAGAGAAGACUCACAUUGGACGAGGCUAGUCCAUAUAAGAAGAUUAAACAAGUAGACUACAGCUCAGGCUCUGAAGCACAGCAGUCAGUUAAAUACUCUUACAGCUUCGCCAUCAGUCACGACAAAGCGGCCAUCGAAUGA